rnacentral:lncRNA from 1 species
UCUGCACUGAAUUAACUGAAAACUGCAUUCAUAUGAACCAAUCACAACUGAGAAAUGUUUUCAUGUAUAUUAUUAACUGUUAAAAGGCAUCCAUUGUUUCCCUUCAAAUCUAUGAUUUUUCGUCUUUCAGAUUCAAGAAGACAGCAAAAAGAGACAGGAAACUGCGUCUAAAAUUUGCGAAAAGCUUUAGAAGAAGGGAUCGCUAAGUACGAAAGAAGGAUUUACAUUGAACUACCUCUCAUUACAGACCACCAGAAUCACUUUGUUGGCGAGGUUGCUGGAAUAUCUCAACCCCUUGAUGAGAAGAUCAUCAAGAGGAUCCACGAGCUCACGGCGGAGGGAGUCAAGGAAAUAUAUGAAAUGAGACGGCAUUUGAAAAUCUUCGUGAAAGAGGUCUUGUUUCGAGAUGAUCAGCAACCACAAGACACAAACCGCCGAUACUUCCCUAGGACAUCUGACCUGCGCACGCACAUGUAUCGAGCUACGGUCAAAAACCGCAUGUCAAGAAUUGAUCAGGCAAAUGUCCACAUGAAGACGGAUGAGUGGAGAAAAGUUUACAACGCUGAUUCCUUCUACUUUCGUCCUCACUCAGAACAAGUAGACACGCCUAUGGAGGUUCCAGUCUGGUCUGAAAAUGAAAAAGGUGAUUACUGCAAAAUGAAGCAUUAGGGUUCUUAUUCAUAGCGUAUUGUUUAUGGUAUAAAUGUUGGAGGACACUGGCUAUGUCUUAGCACAAUUGGGGUGUCACAUUCUGGCACUGUCAGAGUCUUUGACAGCCUGUUCAUCAAGCCACAUACCAUUGCAGUUGAACAUGCUUGUCGAAUGUUGCUGCAUGCUGGUGAUACAGUUACCUUCAUAAACGAGAAGGUACAAAAGCAGAUAGGUUCUGCUGACUGUGGUCUUUUUGCUUUGGCAUUUACCACAGAUUUAUGCCAAGGUUUAGAUCCCACGAAUCAGAGUUACGAUCAAGCACUGAUGCGACAGCACUAUGUCACAUGUCUUGAAAGUGCCAAUGUUGCUCCCUUUCCAAAGACUUUAAGAAGGGUUCCUUCUCAUGUCGUUCAAAACAAGACAUUGGUACAAAUUUUUUGCAAAUGUCGACUGCCAAAUGACAACAAAGAAUAUGUUAUGUGCUUUAGAUGUUCCAGUUGGUAUCACCCAGAAUGCGUGCAAGUACCAGAGUGGGCAAUCAACUCAAAGAGGAAAUGGCAAUGCCAAAAAUGUAAAGAUCACAGAAUAUUAAGACUUCAAAACAGUUUGGUUUAAAUAUCAAGAAAUUGAUGUUACAAGUAGCAGCCAGUUAUACUUAGAGUUUUAUCAAGUCCAUUACAUUAUUAAAUUUAGAGUUACUUUGUUUUGAGAGAAGGAAAUUGAGGAGCUGUAAUAUACUAAUCAUCAUGGCUGGCACAUAGUAACAUUUGUUUAUAGAGACUUUUGGAGGAGAGGGGGAAGACUUGUGACAAGCUGGCAGACAUAUACAUAAACUCUACCAAAUGAGUUAAGUGCUCAGUAUUUGGAUCACCUAUGGCUCAAAUUAAACUUUGCUUUAGCUUCAAGUUUAAUCCUUUGUGUUUUUCUUUCUCUGUGUUUAUUUUUCAAGUUAUGUUAUGCAAAAGAACAUAAAAAUAAUAAUUAAUGCUUUUGAAUGGAGCCUGGUAUAAGCAAGAAAUCAAAGUGAAUUUGGGUAACAAAGUGAAGUUGAUCUUCCAAUGUUAUUUAAUUUUAACCAUUAACAAAAUUUGCCGCUUAAAUUUAUCCCCUCCGUUGUUUUGGAUGUUGUGUGCAAAAAAAAAACAACAAACAAACAAACAAGAAAGAUUCA